rnacentral:pre_miRNA from 1 species
UCGAUGAUGAUCCUUAGAGCGAGCGAUGCGUCCGGUCGAAGUCUUCAUCGGCCGUAAUUGGGACCAAUGGUCGGUGGGACUUUCGUCCGUUUGCAGAACUCGCCAACC